CGCACUUCGCAGGGAGCCUUGAGGCCGGGGAACGCCAGUCUCCGACCUUGUGCCUCCCCUUCAGUGUCCGUGAGAUUCUGAGCCGUGUGUCCUCUGCAUCCAAACGUCAGCAUCGGUUGUCGACAGCCGCAGCACAGCUUGCUGGCUCUUGACUGGGACGGUGUUGAAUCCCUGGUCUCCCCAUCCAUGAACAUGGGAUGCCUCUCCACUCACUUGGUUCUUUGAUUUUGGCAUCAGAGUUUUGUUUUCUCGGAUGGAUCCUGACAUAUUUUGUUAGAUUUGUAUCUAGCACCAGGUUCUUAAAUUCAAAUCCCACUCAGUUGCGGAUGUACUGGUAAGCAAUUGGCUAUUAUAUAUUAAUCUUAGACCCCGCAAUGUUGCCAUGAUCACUUCUCAGUUGCAGGAAUUUUUUGUCAAUUCUUUUGGGUUUUCUACAUAGACGAUGUCAUUUGAAAACAAAAACAGUUGUAGCUCUUGCUUCUUAAUCUGUGUAUCUUUUACUUUUCUUGUCUUGUUGCAAAAGCUAGGACUUCCCACAUGAUGCUGGAGAGAUGUUCCGAAGCAACGUCCCUGCCUUGUUCCUGACCUUCAGGGGAAGGGUGGUUCUAGUUUCUCACCACGAAGGAUGACGUUCACUGUGGCUGUACGAGGAAGUUCACUGUAUUAAGUCGAGGAAGUUCCACUGGUUUCCUUGUUUGCUGAAAGCUGUUAUCACAGAUAGACGUUGGUUUUGUCAAAUGUUUCUUUCUGCACCACUAACACGAUCAUGUUAUUUCUCUUCUUUAUUGUUACAGAAAUUCACCUUCAAACGCUGAAUCACCCUUGCACACCUGGGAUAAACGGCACUUGGUCAUGGUGUCUAAUUCUUGUUAUAUGUUGUUAAGUUUCAUUUGCUAAUUUUUUUGAGGAUUUUUAAAAAAGAUUUUAUUUAUUUAUUUGACAGACAGAGAUCACAAGUAGGCAGAGAGGCAGGCAGAGAGAGAGGAGGAAGCAGGCUCCCUGCUGAGCAGAGAGCCCAAAUUGGGACUCGAUCCCAAGACCCUGGGAUCACGACCCGAGCCGGAGGCAGAGGCUUAACCCACUGAGCCACCAGGCACCCCUUUUUGAGGAUUUUUGCAUCAACGUUCGGGAGAAACUGUAGUUCUUCUCUCAUGUGACACCUUUGUUCUGAUAUCAGGGAAAAGCACGCUUCAUGGAAUGAAUGAUGAUUUUUUUUCUGUCUGUGUUUUCUGGAAGGGAUUAUAGAGAGCGGGCAUGAUUUCUUCCUUAAAUGUUUGAUAGAAUUCACCAGCGAACCCAGUGGAAAAUUAUUACUGAUUCAAUUUCUUUAAUGGCUAGCCAUCCAUUCAGAUCAUCUAUUCCUUCUUGUGUGGGCUCUGGCAGGUGGCGUCUUUCUGGGAACUGGCCCAUUUCAUGUUAGGUUAUCAGGCUUGUGAGCACAGAGCUCUUCCUAACACCAAACAGACUUUCGCUCCACAAUGUGAAGCUUGAGACACAGACGUUUAGAAGCCAUAGGUCGGGCUCGGGGUAUUUAAGGAGGGGUUACAGCUGUAGACAACGGAUCUGGAGAGAAUAACGCUGACUCGAGGGCAGGAACCGUUCUCUGGGCUGGGAAGGAAAAGAUUCUGAGAGGAGGGGAGAGUCUGAUGGGGGGAUCCCCAUGGCACGGCCCAGGCUCUCUGCCUGCACUCCCUCUUCCCCUGCCCCACACCAGGCCCACGGAGACAGGUGACAAUGGAGCCGUCCGACGGGCUCUGCGGGCAGCUUCGGUGCGGAGCCGCUGCAUUAGGGCAGGCACCUACCAGGACCUGCAGACGGAUGCACAUGGCCAGCGGCUGCGUAAGAAGAGGCCGGCCUCCGCACUCCGCACCACACCAACACUGGCGAGCCUGCGGCCUGGCCGCAUCUCUCACGGCCCCACCAGGCUCUGCUGGGCACGAAGCGUCAGCGAGGACCCCACAGGCGUGUCCCUAGCGUCUCCACUGAUCAUGUGGUGGCACAAUGCAUCUGUGGGCUCGGUUGCCGUGGAAACACUCCCCUGUCCUCUAACCGGGAUCCCGGGCAAGCUGGGAAACGGUCCCGUGAUCGGAGAGAACACGUGCUAUGAAAGGUGUGGCUCGUUCCCAGAUUCUUCCCGAACAGUUUAUUUUUACCCAUAGCCAACAAAUACUCACAUCCUCCCAAUCCCGUGUGGCAGGCCCGAUUUCCUCGAGGAGCUCCAUCCCCUGAAACCGUCCUCUGCGCUCGUGUGCUUUCUGAGGCUGCUGUUUCGGGUUUUCUUCCGGACACCCCUCUCGGAGGGCGCUGGGGACACGAAGGGCCACCCGUGGUCCUGGGACUCAGGAACAGUCAUGACGCGCGACGGCGCAGUCACGGUGGGGCCACGAGAGGCCAUGAGAGGCCACCUGUUCCCCCUCCAGGCAGCAGCUCGGGCAGGCCUAGGUGUUUAGAAGCGGCGAGAACACACACUAUGUUGUCAACUUCAAGUCUAGACGGAUCUGCCGGCGUCUUCUCACUGUCUACCAGACCCACGGCAACAGGAAUCUUUGAGCCCGCCUGGGAGAACAUCAGAUGUUUUCAGGAAUCGGCGGGAGCACUGCUGUCCACACAGAGCCCGGUGCCCGGCGGUGCCCAUCCUGCCUCCACGGGCAGCUGUCUCGAGGAAGCCACGCGCCACCCACUCCUGCCCCAGUCGGCCAGACGUGGGCCGUGGGAGAGCAGGGUGGCAGGCCCGGGGAUGCCAGGAGAGCCAGGAAGUGGGUCCCUGCCCGAAGUUCGGUCACGUGUAUGACAGGUCCCAAGUCCCUCCCGUGGACGCAGCUGUUUCCGGCUGCUGAGUUUCAGGCGAGGGCAAGCGCUCGCCCACCGCUGAGAGGCCGAGAGAAGGGAGGUCGCGUCCUCAGCGAGCCCAUGUCGCGAGUUCGCGGCUCAGCGAUGAAGGACCUCAUGCACCCACACAAAUAAAUGCUGAAGAC